rnacentral:sRNA from 1 species
UUCAAAGGAUAAUUUUGUUCCAUAUAAAAUAAAAGAAGGCGCAGCGGAGCGGGCCCGGUUUAGCUAGUUAACAUAUAAAAGCCGAAUGAUUGCUGACGCUGACCAACUAAUAUUUCACACAGCGGUUGCAAAUGUUUUUAUUAAAAACAUUUUCUUCUCCAUUUCUUUCCAUAGUGAGGCGUUUUUCAUAAAUCAAACGUCAGCUUAUAAGCUUUUGUCACAAAUCUUACUAGCCCCUGGGAUACUCAAAAACUUUCACCAUACCUAAACGUCAUAUUUUUACAACCCCUACAACUGUGCUAUCAAUUGGCACACAACCUUUGUACAAAUUUCGAUAAUUUAUUUUUGAGGCUGUGUGUCGAAAGUUCGAAACGUCAAAAAUUGUCAGUGUUAAAAAAAAUUGUCGAUUGGCACAGCACUCGUUCUUUCUUCAUACUCAGAGCGUGUGUCAAAUGAUAGCAAUCUCCUUUGAUGAGUUGUAAAAAUGACGUAUGGGGUUGUUUUUUACAUUGGUGAGAAAAAAUUUUCAUUUUGUUGUGCCAAUCGACCAUUUUCUCUAACACUGACAAAUUUUGACGUUUGUAAAAAAUCAAAAGCGUAAUAAUACAGGAAAAAGCCAGAAAAUAAAGGUUAUUUGCGUAAUGAAUAUUUUUCAAAAAUAUUUUCCAUUACUGCUAGCAAUUUUAUUGCAAAUGCGAACGUUGUAAUAUGGAGAUGUUUACAUGAAAAUGAUGAACGAAACUCAUGCCAGGAUUACAGUUAAAUGUAUUUCUAAGGUUUGUAUUGUGUUCCACAGUGAAACCCUUCGAAUGAAUGCAGCUGCAUCCCUUGUGAUGAAAAUAAUGAGUUUAGAAAGUUCUUCGAAAUUAUCUAAGGAGAUGGGGAAAAAAGAAAUAUGAAGACUACAAGUUGACGCGAAAUUUACUACUUUUUAAAUGACACGUCAAUCAUAUUUUCUCUUACGAUUAAAGUAUAAUUCCGAGGUAAUUUUCAUAUAUUUAUAAUAAAACAAGAAUAUAUAGCAAUUAAA